AACGAACGCUGGCGGCAGGCCUAACACAUGCAAGUCGAACGGUAACAGGAAGCAGCUUGCUGUUUCGCUGACGAGUGGCGGACGGGUGAGUAAUGUCUGGGAAACUGCCUGAUGGAGGGGGAUAACUACUGGAAACGGUAGCUAAUACCGCAUAACGUCGCAAGACCAAAGAGGGGGACCUUCGGGCCUCUUGCCAUCGGAUGUGCCCAGAUGGGAUUAGCUUGUUGGUGGGGUAACGGCUCACCAAGGCGACGAUCCCUAGCUGGUCUGAGAGGAUGACCAGCCACACUGGAACUGAGACACGGUCCAGGCUCCUACGGGAGGCAGCAGUGGGGAAUAUUGCACAAUGGGCGCAAGCCUGAUGCAGCCAUGCCGCGUGUAUGAAGAAGGCCUUCGGGUUGUAAAGUACUUUCAGCGGGGAGGAAGGGAGUAAAGUUAAUACCUUUACUCAUUGACGUUACCCGCAGAAGAAGCACCGACUAACUCCGUGCCAGCAGCCGCGGUAA
rnacentral:rRNA from 1 species